rnacentral:lncRNA from 1 species
AACAUCAUGAAAGAGACAAAAUUCUCUUUGCACAAAGUUAAAAAAAAAAAGAAAAAAAAAUAAAAUGAACAAAGGACACAAAAUUAACUUAAAAAUUUGCUCCCACUAAUAUUUUGAAAAGAUACCAUACUUACAUUUAUGUGAUAAAAAAUAUCCGCAUCAUGUAAAGACUUGAACUUGUAUGCAUAUUACAUAAUAAAAUUGAGGGCACGAGCGAAAACCCAACUCUAGACCAAGACUCGCCUAAUAAAAGAUUGAUCUUUAGGGGGAAAAAAAAUGAAAAUGAAGUUAGAUAUUUGGCAUGAAUGACGUUAGACAUUUUGCAUCAAUUAUUAACCUGCUUUUGUCUUGGUUGAAAGUGAGUUAUGCAAAUAUAUACAAAAAGAAAGGUUGAAACAUUAACUAUUUUGAUGUUUUCUAACGAUUAAACUUACACUAGGCCAGCAUAUAAAGGAAAAAUAUAAAUCAAUAUUUUUUUAAUGUGCACAUUGCACAAUCAAAUCAUAUACCAGGUCCCAUAAAAGAUAGCGUUCUAGACUUUACCAUGCAGGAUGCCAAAAAUGAUCCAAAGGCUAUCAAGAGAAUUUGUUCAGCUAAAGGCCAGCGACUGAGUGAUAGAGUUCUCCUUUUGUUCACAGUAGGCCUUAGUACCGACGCAUUCUUUUUAAUUUAACUUGGUUUUUCCACACACUAGUGAGUUGGCUCAUUUUUCAUCGAUUAAUUCAGCUACUUAUGAUUUUAACAACAGAUAUUUCUAGAAGCUAAUAAUAUAAGUUACAAAUUAAAAUUUCAACCAAAAAAGAAAAAAUCCUCAAUCUAUCUAUUCCUGUUUUUGUUCUCUCAAAAAUAACAUUCAAGACGCUAAAAUCCAUUGUUUCAAAUUUUUAUAGCAACACAAAAAAUGGUUAAUCCAAUUCUUGAAAGCGUCAAGCAAAUAUCGGAUAACUGGAACAUACGAGGUGUAAUCUUGUUCAGUCUUCAUUACAAACGAUCUUGAUUUUGUUUGCUCCUCUCCAAAAAGGCACCGAUAAUAAAGUGAUAAUCUCGGUAAUCUGUUCAGUGUACUUGCAAAAGAUAUUUCGGAGAAGAAGCAUAAGGAGCUUUUAGCAUUUUGGUUUCCAUUUAUGUUGUUCCUGUUAGAUUUUUAAUUUAGAAUUGUUGGACCCUUAAUUUAAUGUUGCGUUUAUCUGUGAAUAAUUAUGUGUUGUGAACUGUCAUAUAAGGAUAAGCCUAAUUAAAAGUAAUCCAUUAAGAUUUUUAGUAAUAUGAGCUUAAUGUAUCUCAUAGAGUGUGGAGUUUUAAUGUGUAAAGACUUAAGUGUAAUUUUUAUUUCUAUGAUAGGCUAAAAUAAGAAUACUUAAAAACAAUAGGAAAAGUUGUCAAUAUAAGUGGUCAUGGUCUCCAGGUCACACGUAUCUUUUUAUUUUUUCUGACAUUCCAUUAUUAGAGAGAGAGAGAAUAUAGAGAAAAUUAAAGGAUUAUCUAUGAGAACAUGUUGAUCUAGAAAGCCAACCACACUACUCCGAAGAGCAAUUAAGCACUAUAUUCAGGUAAGAUUCUGCAUAUUUUAUUAUUAAUUUUUGGUGAUACAAAAUGAAUGUUCUUGAAUUAUAGGCGAUGUUUUUCACUAAAGGAUUUUUUGUUCUAACACGUGCUAUCAGAGCCUCUUCAUAUUGAAUCAUUGAUAAUUAAAUUUAUUUUUGUUUAAUAAUUAAAUUUUUGAUGUUCUCAAAUUUAAUAAUACUGGAAUUAUUAAAAUUAUUGAGUUUGAAAAUAAAUUGAGAAUUGAAAUAUUUUUUGGCGUUCUUGAAUCUAAUAAUUCCUAAUCAAAUUUGAGGUUGACUUCAGCUUUCUUGUUGUUGAUGACUCAUGGGCUAGAACCUUAUCCUGGGCCUGGAGUAGUGAUAGAAGUAGUAUUCAUGGGCCUAGAUAACUCUGAUCCAUCUAGAAACCACAUCCAACCCAACUGGCUGAAAUUCAAACACGAGGAUUUAUUUAUGACUAAUGAUAAGUAUCCUAAAUUUGUGUUCAUAGUACACGAUCGAGUGCAGCAAAAUGAUGAUGAAACAUUGACAUUGAAAGGAUGCAGUGACUUUGCACAACACAUAUGUGUUCAAUCUUCUGAUUUAGGUUCCGCAAGACCAAAAUGAGCCAUCAAUACCCAAACAAAAGUAAAAAGCUCCCCACCAUUACUAACUUGCUCGACAUGUGUCCUUGUUGAUCUGCUGUGACAUGCUGCAUAUGAUAUCAAUUCCACCCGAACUUUGCUCACUAUCUCCCAUUUCUUAUCCUUAUAACAAUGAAGACUUUGGAGCUUAUCGACCAUCCUUUUUGCUUGAUCUAACGGUAAGGCAGUCACAUAUGAACUUAGUUCUGUUCUCAUCGCCAGUGAAAUCUUUCCUUGAAAACAAAUCUUGGCCUCAUCACGGAGAAUUUCCAAUCUAACAUUUUUUUUGGAAAAGCAUGGUAGGCUUCAAAACUAAAAGAUACAGCAUGCAUUCCGAGAGGAUCUUGCUGAAUUCUCUAGCAUUGUAAGUCUUUUCAUCUGAAAUUACUUCUUUAGCAGUUUCUUCGUAAAGGAAUUCUGUAACAAUGUGCCAGAAUAUAAGGCUUUUAUCAAAACUAAGUUAACUUCUUCCAAGUAUUGGAUGAGAUCACAUUUUGUAUCCAUUUCAUUCAGAGUACAAUCACCUUUAGCUGAAAAUAAUUUCCGAAAACCUUUUCUGAUAUCCGCCUUUGGACCAUUUGCAAAAUUAGGUAUUAUGUCCAGAUUCAGCUUUUCUUCUAAUUUCAUCUGCAUGCUUAGCUUUUCGUUUAAUUUCAUCGAAUAUAAACCCCCACAACUCUUUAGUUAGUGGCUCCUGGGACAAAGAUGUUUUAUUCUAAUCUCAUUGGCAAUAUCAGCCAGGCUGAAACAAGCAAUGAUUUUGUCAAUUCGUAGAAAUCGGAUGACCCUUUAAGUAGUAAUGGCUAUAUACUGAAAGAUCUUGUCGGUGCCAUAACUCUUUCUCUGAUGAGCCUUUAUGACGCUUAGUCCUCAAACAGAACCAAACCAUCUGCGUAGCAAGGAGUAGCAAAACGGUUAUCAGGUCGUGUUUGUGUCAUGUCAAUCUUGUGCUGUGUCAAGUUUAAGCUGACCUAAACAUGAGCCAUUUAAUAAUCGUGUGAAAAUAUUAAGACCCUAAUCUGACAUGGAAAAUAAAUAAGUUACUCAAUAACUUGCUUAAUAUCUAUAUAUUUAACAAGAUUUAUAUCAAAUAUUUGCAUUCCAAUAUAUGCGCAUGUGUGUGUGUGUGAACCCUGUGAAUUGUGUGAAAGUAGGAUACUCCAAAUUCGUGGAUCCAAAAGUUUUAUAAAACGUUCUUGCUGGAAAAAAAUGUGAAUUAAAGAUUCCAUUGAAUUGAAUUGGGUUCUUGAAUCUAAGAAAUUGUGAGAAUUGUUGAUCUCUCUCAAUUAGAAAAUCCAAGAUUUGAAUUGAUGUCCUUUCAUUGAUUCCUCCUAAAUUACGUUGAUUUAUCCUAAAGAUUUCAUUUCAAUUAAAUUUUGGUUAUUCACCAUGUACAAGGAUCCCCACUAAGCAUCCAUGGCUGAAUGGUUAAAGCACCCAACUUGGCGAAUUCGUUGAGGGACUUGAACCCUCAUGAUUUCUAAAGUCGACAGAUUUUCCUUUCAUUAUAAAUUUCAUUGUUGCCCAUAUUAAUAUUGACAUGUAGAAUGUGACUCUAUUUUUACUCUCGUCUGAUUAAUCAAUUCUUCAAAAUUCAAAAGAAAUGAUCGAUCAGACCACGAAGGUGGAGUGAAUGAUUUGAGUCAAGAAUAUUCGAUUCUUUCUUUAACCUAGAAUCGAUUCAUAGUAGCUUUUUUCUUUUUCAUAAAAAGAAAUAAGAAUUUAUUGUGAUUUUUUGAGUUAGUUUUUCAUUGCGUAAACCUAGUCUAUAUACCCUUAUCCUUUGUUUUACUUUCUUUUUUAUUUACCAAAAUGGGUAGUCAACUUCAUUUGUUAAAACAACUUCCAUUGAGUCACUGCACCUAUUCCCCUUUUUCACUUUCUAAACCCAUGUUUGAUCUUGGAAAAGAGAAGAGGAUUUGGCUCAGGAUUAUCCAUUUUUUUUUCCUGGGUUUUUCUGAAUUUGAAGGUUAGCACUUAGUAAGUUUCCAUAUUAAGACUCAAUCCAAUUAAGUCCGUAGCAUCUACCAAUUUCGCCAUAUCUCCAUAUCCCCUUUGUGUUUUAGGAAUUCAAUGUUGUCCCCCCGUUCUUUCAUUUCUACCAAAACAUUAGAAUUCCGUAGAUAUAGACUUUUAUAUAGAAAUGUGUUUUGCUUUCUUGUCAGAAAUGAUUCUAUCUUCUCUGUAUCCGCAAAUCAAUUAAUGCUUCUUUCUCUUAGAAGUAUAACCAUUGAUCAUGGCGAACCUCCUAUUGAGAUUAAAACCUCACCUUAUAAAAUUCAUAAAGACCCGGAGACAGAUUUAGAUAGCAUUAUUCAACAGAAUAAUUUCUGUAAUGCUAAUCUAAACACAAUAGAAAAACAGUUGACCAGAAUAGAAAAUCAAUUCCAGAAGUCAACCAUAGCUGUUUCCCCUGUUACAUCAAAAUCGGAUUCUGACAAAAAGCUUAAGGAGUCUAUUUUCAAACCUUUUCAGGUUUCGAAAACUAGUCAAAAGUUUGUUCAAGAGUCAAAAUCAGAUUUUGCUAAAGCCAUUAAAGAAAAACUAGAUAGAAUAAAAGCUUCUUCUUCCUCUUCUAGUAAAAUCCAAAUAGCCCCUGAUAGUGCCCAAUCUAGCAAGAUUGGUGUACUAGAACAAGACAAUGUUUCUAUAGCCUCUUCUGAUAUAGAAGCAUUUAAAGAAGAACCUAUUUCCAAAGCCAACAAAAUCCAUUGGGAAUUAGCCAUACCUACUGUCAAGUCUCCACCUGAUUUGGCCAUAGACAACAGACUUGCUGCAUUAAACCAAUCACGAUUUAAUGCAUCUUCUAUCUAUGAGUGGAACCUUGAUGAUAUGUCUGAAUACAACAUCCUAAGAUUGUUGCAACAAAUGACCAUGACAACCAAUGCUUAUAAAACUCAGUUGGGAACUUCUGACAAGGCCAUUGUAGAAAUUCUCAUUGCUGGUUUUACUGGUCAACUUAAAGGUUGGUGGGAUCAUCUUCUCACCAAACAGCAACAAUUAGAUAUCCUUGACUCUAUUCAGACAGAUGAGAAUGGAGCCCCCAUCCUUGAUGAAAUCAAUAGUCCAAUUUAAGAUGCUGUUGCUACCUUGAUUUUGACUAUAUUCCUUCAUUUCAUAGGUGAUCCUUCACACCUAAGAGAUAAAAAUGAUGAGUUACUAUAUAACCUGAGAUCUAGGAAACUUAGUGAAUUCCAAAGUUACAAAACCACAUUCUUUACCAGACUCUUCCUUAGGGAUGAUGCAAAUCAUAUAACUUGGAAGGAAAAAUUCCUUGCAGGUUUACCUACCAUAUUAGGAGAAAAGGUUAGGAAUUCCAUAAAAGCCCUCUAUGAUAACCGUAUUCCUUAUGACGAACUCACCUACGGUGAAUUAGUCAGUUUUGUUAAUAAGGAAGGCUUAAAGAUUUGCCAGGAUUUGAAACUUCAGAAACAUCUAAAAUGGGAGCUUAGGAAAUCUAAGCAAGAAUUAGGCAGUUUCUGUAAGCAAUUCAAUUAUGACCCCUUUAAAACUUCCAUCUCUAAAGAUUGUAAUGGUAAGUGUUCUUCACGACCUUACAAAAAACAUUACAAGUCCAAGAGCCAUAGGAAAUCUUUCCAAGAAUCUAGAGAACUUUCGUAUAAGAAACCUUCAAGGCCUUAUAAGAAGCCUAACUUCUCUGGAAAGAAGGAUUUUAGAGCGAAACAGAAAGCCCCUUUUAACUACAAAGAAGCCACAUGUUACAAGUGUGGAAAGAAAUGCCAUACUGUAAAAUUUUGUAGAAUGAAUAGAAAGCUCCAUGAGUUUGGCCUUGAUGAAGAAACCCUUUCUAAAGUCACCUCUCUGUUUGUAGAGUCUUCAGACUCUGAGUCUUCCAUGACGGGAGAUAGUGAACCUCUACAGGUUGAUGAGUUAAUUGACUCAGAUACAUCUGUAUCCAGUGAUAGUGAUUCUGAUACAGAAUCUUAUUUAAAGAAGAUUAAUGUCUUGACUAAAAAACAAGAGACUUUUCUAGAAUUGGUUAAAUAUAUUUCUGAUCCAAAUCUUCAAAAAGAAUACGUUGAUAAACUUUUAAAAACCCUAGAACUCAAUAAAACAGAAACUUCCAAAGCCCCAAUAAUUAAAAGGAAUACUUAUGAUCUCACUAAGAUUUUGGAUAAAAAGAAAACAAAGAAAACUAUAGCUCCUAGUAUCCAAGACCUUCAAAAAGAGAUAAAAGAAAUCAAACUUGAGAUAAAAGAAUUAAAAGAAAAACAAAAAAGUGAUUCUGAAACCAUUCAACUCCUCCUACAAAGACAAUUAGAUGAUAAUUCUAAUAAAGAAAUUGAAACUGAUAAUGAAAAUGAACAAAACGUGGAAAACAUUGAAUCCAUACCAAAUGAUUUUCUGUUUGUUUUAAAACAAAUCACUACGAGAAAGUACCUAAUAAAAAUUACAUUAAUUCUUUCUAAAGACUUUGAGAUUGACACCAUUGCCCUUUUUGAUACUGGUGCCGAUCUAAAUUGCAUUAAAGAAGAUAUUGUCCCUAAAAGAUUUCAUGAAAAAACAAAUGAAAGACUCUCGGCCGCCAAUAAUUCAAAAUUAAAAGUAAAAUCUAAAGUUGAUGCCUCAGUAUAUAAUAAUGGUUUUGAAUUUAGGACUUCCUUUCUUUUAACAAAUGAUAUCCAUCAUACUAUUAUAUUAGGAACUCCCUUCAUUAACCUUAUAACCCCUUAUACUGUUAACUAUGACAGUAUAUCUUUUAAAGCAAAAACAAAAAACCUUGUUUUCCCUUUCAUUGAGAAACUUAAAAUAAGAAAUUUGAAUACAGUUAAAGCAUGUUCUAUUUAUCAGAACCAAAUCAAUGUACUCCUCAAGUCAAAACAAAAUGACCUGAUUUGUUUAAAAAAGGAUUUGAGUUUACAAAGAAUCGAAAACCAAUUACAAAACGAAUUUGUAAAAAGAAAGAUCACUUAUUUUAAAGACCUCAUUGAAAAAGAAAUAUGUGCGGAUCUACCCUCUGCUUUUUGGAACAGAAAGCAACAUUUAGUAGAUUUGCCUUAUGAAAACUCUUUUAAUGAAAAAUAAAUACCUACCAAAGCCCAUCCAAUCCAAAUGAAUAUGGAAUUGGAACAACAUUGUAAAGAAGAAAUAAAAGACUUAGAAUCAAAAGGACUCAUUGUAAAAUCUCGGUCUCCAUGGUCUUGUGCCGCUUUCUAUAUUAAUAAAAACUCUGAAAUAGAAAGAGGAACACCUAGACUUGUAAUAAAUUACAAACCCCUAAAUAAAGCAUUAAAAUGGAUUAGGUAUCCCAUACCUAAUAAAAAAGAUUUACUCCAAAAACUGCAUUCUGCUUUCAUAUUUUCAAAUUUUGAUAUGAAAUCAGGUUUCUGGUAAAUCCAAAUCCAUCCUAAAGAUCGUUAUAAAACUAUUUUUACUGUUCCCUUUGGACAAUAUGAAUGGACUGUUAUGCCAUUCGGUUUAAAGAAUGCACCUUCAUAAUUCCAAAGAAUUAUGAAUGAUAUUUAUAAUCCUUUUUCCGAUUUCUAUAUCGUCUAUAUUGAUGAUGUAUUGAUCUUUUCUCAAACAAUUGAUCAACAUUUCAAACAUUUAAAAACUUUCUAUCUUGCCACUAGAAAGGCUGGUUUAGCCAUUUCUAGUUCUAAAGUCUCAUUAUUCCAAACAAAAAUCAGAUUCCUUGGUCAUUACAUCUCCAAAGGAACUAUUACACCUAUUGAGCGAUCUCUUGCAUUCGCAGAUAAAUUUCCUGAUAAAAUUCUUGAUAAAACUCAACUACAAAGAUUUUUAGGAAGUUUAAAUUAUGUUCUUGAUUUUUGUCCUCAUAUCAAUAGGAUUUCAAAACCUUUGCAUGACUGAUUAAAGAAAAACCCUGUUGCAUGGACAGAUGAACACACUAAAGUUGUUAAGCUCAUAAAAAGUUCUAUUAAAGAUAUUCCAUGUUUGUUUCUUGCUAAUCCUGCAUUACCUAAAAUAGUUGAAACUGAUGCAUCCGAUUUAGGUUAUGGAGGAAUAUUAAAGCAAAGAGAAAAUAAUAAAGAACAAAUAGUACAGUACAUUUCUGCUCAUUGGAAUGAAUGUCAAAGAAAUUACUCUACUAUUAAAAAAGAAAUUCUUUCUAUUGUUUUAUAUAUAUCUAAAUUUCAAAGUGAUUUAUUAAAUCAAAAAUUUUUACUCAGAAUUGAUUGUAAAGCUGCAAAACAUGUUUUGGAAAAAGAUGUUCAAAAUAUUGCUUCGAAAUAGAUUUUUGCAAGAUGACAAGAUUUUGAAUGUUUUUUAUUUUGACAUUGAAUUUAUUAAAGGAGAUAUGAAUUCUAUCCCUGACUUUCUAACCAGGGAAUUUCUUCAAAACAGAUAAUGCCGCCCAAGAAAAAAGACAAAGAUAAAGUUGUUCUUAAAGACACUGAGUCACAAGCAACCUCCAAAGAAUCCCUAUCAACCCCCUCUAAAGAAAAAUUACUUUCUUCUGCCAUACCCAUCAAAUCAUGGAUUGAAAUGGUUGAAGAACAUGAAGCCCAAUAUAAAGCCAUAAUCUUCGAAGAUCAGGUAAAAGAAUGGAUGAAUUCUAUUACAAAGUCUCCAGAGCUUAUGCUCGCCUUACAAAAUAUUUUUCAAACCCAAGAGAAAGAAAAACUUGUUUCUAAAGCAAUUUCAAAACCUUCUUCCUCUAAAGAAAUCGUUUCAUGUGAAAGCUCUUUUUGGCAAAUUAUUGUUUCUCAAUCAAAGCUUUCACAAAAAUCAUCGAAUUGGCUUAAUAAAGCCUAUCAACAAAAUGUUUUAACUAUGGAUGAUGGGUUUUAUCAUUCUGAUCCAUUUCAAGCAAUUUCAAAGAUUUUCCCGAAAGGCUGGUUUUUCAAACCAUGGGAUUUAUCUAAACCCAAGUCUUUCUACCAAGGCAUACUUGAGUUCACUGAGUCAGUAAAGUUUAAACAUUUCUUCCUUAGUGAAGCUCAUUCUGAGCCAGUCUAUUCCACGGCUACCAUUCUUAAAGUCUUAAGUCCAAAUCAGUGGGGUGACCAACUCCACAAACCAAAAACUUUUCCCGCCAAUUUUCAAAGACGUUUAAACUAUUGCUUAUCUUUCUCCUACUGGGAUUAUCAGCAGGCCUGGUUUAACACAUUUUUUAUCCAAAAUCCAAAAAAGUAUCACUCUUGGUUAUUUUUCUUUAAUUCAAAAAUAACCGUCCAAAGCCUUCCAAAUUGGUUCCAAAUUUGGUGGAACUACUUUGGGCCAAGCCCAGAUAUUCUAACCCAGAAUGCCAUUAAAUGUUUAAAUUUAUUUAAAGCCCAUUAUGUUCCUUCUGAGUCUGAGAAGAUGUUUCCUCCUUUUCUCUGUUUCUGUACAAACUUUUUCCUUCCCUGGGUUUGGAUGUGGAAUUUCCAAUACCACACCAUAGACACCCAACUAGUCUUACAAAGAACCUUCAAAGUCAAAUGGUGGUCUAAAUUUGACGAACAGUCAAAAUUGUCUAAAGCCACGGUCCAAUCCUGGCUUUUUACAAGAGGCCUCAUUGCCCCAAGUAAAGACAUAGUCAAAGCCCAAAGCACUUUCCUUGCCCAGAGAGUAAAAGCCCAAUCCCUGCUGGCCAGUGCUAAAACCGAGGAUGAAUAUUUCAAAGUAAUGCAGCAACUUCUUGCCACAAGAUCAGAGACAUCUGCUGCAAGUUCUUCAUCAAGCUCCUCAGGAGAAGCUGAACCGUUCAUCUCCCUCGGAAAUGAAAAUGAAGAUGACUGCUUCGGAAUAUUCUCUCCAUUAAAGCAUUAAAGCUUCGUAUAAAAAAAAAAGAUUGUCUUAUAUCACUUAUUUCCUUAUAAUUAUUACUCAUGUAAUUAACGAUUGAAUUUCUCUUUGUAUCAAUUACUUUGUUAUAAUUAUUUUCCGAAUGUAUUUGUAUUUAUAUUAUUUUUGGGUGGUCCCCUGGACACAAGUGAGAGCGCACAUGUCUCUUUACCCAUCUUUUGUUUUCUUUCAAAGUUGUAAAGAAGAAAGAUGCUGUCCCCUACAUGCCUUGACGAUCCCGCUCCAUCAUCUACGCAUGUGAAGCUAUAGCAAAAGCCAAUAAAGCAAAGUCCAUUCACCAUGAUGCUGUCUCCACUCACCAACCACGUAGGUAAAGCUACAGUUUCGCUACACUGGACAAAUAAAGCUACAGUUGAAGCUACAGACUCGCCACAGUUCAAGCUUCAGUUGUCUUAAAUUCAAAGCUGUGUGACAUUGAGAGUCAGAGUUUUGUUUACAACAUUUACAAUUUCUCUCUCUCUCUCUCGGGAAAUCAGGAUCAAGACAUUAAGGAAAAUUAUUCCUGUCUUGUAAUUUUCCCUUUCUACAAAAUCUGUAAACAUUUUCCAUUGUAAAGCUCUCGGAUCCAAGCAAUCUAUGUAAGCAUCUCUCAUUUAAUCUAUUUAAAGUUUCAAAUGUACGUUUAAAUUUCUGCAAAUUUUAAAUUUAUAUACACUACUACAUUCUUCUGAGGCAUAAAGACCGGAUCUCUCCCUUUGGUCGUAUUUCUCUUCUCCCUUCAAUCAAUCAGAAUACUAUUUCUGGGAUCCAGAUCUAGUAUUAUCUAUGAGCCCUUAGAUUUUGUUGCUAGGCUUGAUUAAAAUUAUUUUGGUAUAUCGGCUGGAAAACAGAACGUGCGUGAUAUUGAUAUGUUUUAAGUCAGAUUUGGUCACAAAGACAGAUUAAGUUCUGCAUCAAUCUGGUAACAACGCCACGUACUGAUUUAAUUUCAAGUUAUAGAUUGCAUAUUAAACCUUAAUACAUAAAUUUGUCUUAAUUUACAUCCAUCCUUCGAUCCUAUUUACCUUCUGAGUAACUUGGAUCCGAGAGGUUUAAUCUUAUUUAAAAUUUCUGCAAAUUUUAAAUUUAUAUAAACUAAAUAGGAUAGAUGCUUACAUAGAUUGCUUGGAUCCGAGAGGUUUAAUCCUAUUUACCUUCGAUCCUAUACAGAAGGAUAUAGGAUCGAAAGAUGGAUGUGAUAUUAGAAAAUGAAAAUGUUUUAUUAAAGAAAUCAAGUCGCAAAGGUGGGAUGGGUUCUUAUUAUUAUGAUUAAAUCGGUACGUGGCGUUGUUCUACCUGAUCAAUGCAGAGACUAGUUUGCCUCAGGGACCAGAUCUGACUUAGAACAGAUCAAUAUCCCGCAUGUUCUGGUUUCCAGCCGCCCUUUUUGAUACUGGUGCCGAUCUAAAUUGCAUUAAAGAAGAUAUUGUCCCUAAAAGAUUUCAUGAAAAAACAAAUGAAAGACUCUCGGCCGCCAAUAAUUCAAAAUUAAAAGUAAAAUCUAAAGUUGAUGCCUCAGUAUAUAAUAAUGGUUUUGAAUUUAGGACUUCCUUUCUUUUAACAAAUGAUAUCCAUCAUACUAUUAUAUUAGGAACUCCCUUCAUUAACCUUAUAACCCCUUAUACUGUUAACUAUGACAGUAUAUCUUUUAAAGCAAAAACAAAAAACCUUGUUUUCCCUUUCAUUGAGAAACUUAAAAUAAGAAAUUUGAAUACAGUUAAAGCAUGUUCUAUUUAUCAGAACCAAAUCAAUGUACUCCUCAAGUCAAAACAAAAUGACCUGAUUUGUUUAAAAAAGGAUUUGAGUUUACAAAGAAUCGAAAACCAAUUACAAAACGAAUUUGUAAAAAGAAAGAUCACUUAUUUUAAAGACCUCAUUGAAAAAGAAAUAUGUGCGGAUCUACCCUCUGCUUUUUGGAACAGAAAGCAACAUUUAGUAGAUUUGCCUUAUGAAAACUCUUUUAAUGAAAAAUAAAUACCUACCAAAGCCCAUCCAAUCCAAAUGAAUAUGGAAUUGGAACAACAUUGUAAAGAAGAAAUAAAAGACUUAGAAUCAAAAGGACUCAUUGUAAAAUCUCGGUCUCCAUGGUCUUGUGCCGCUUUCUAUAUUAAUAAAAACUCUGAAAUAGAAAGAGGAACACCUAGACUUGUAAUAAAUUACAAACCCCUAAAUAAAGCAUUAAAAUGGAUUAGGUAUCCCAUACCUAAUAAAAAAGAUUUACUCCAAAAACUGCAUUCUGCUUUCAUAUUUUCAAAUUUUGAUAUGAAAUCAGGUUUCUGGUAAAUCCAAAUCCAUCCUAAAGAUCGUUAUAAAACUAUUUUUACUGUUCCCUUUGGACAAUAUGAAUGGACUGUUAUGCCAUUCGGUUUAAAGAAUGCACCUUCAUAAUUCCAAAGAAUUAUGAAUGAUAUUUAUAAUCCUUUUUCCGAUUUCUAUAUCGUCUAUAUUGAUGAUGUAUUGAUCUUUUCUCAAACAAUUGAUCAACAUUUCAAACAUUUAAAAACUUUCUAUCUUGCCACUAGAAAGGCUGGUUUAGCCAUUUCUAGUUCUAAAGUCUCAUUAUUCCAAACAAAAAUCAGAUUCCUUGGUCAUUACAUCUCCAAAGGAACUAUUACACCUAUUGAGCGAUCUCUUGCAUUCGCAGAUAAAUUUCCUGAUAAAAUUCUUGAUAAAACUCAACUACAAAGAUUUUUAGGAAGUUUAAAUUAUGUUCUUGAUUUUUGUCCUCAUAUCAAUAGGAUUUCAAAACCUUUGCAUGACUGAUUAAAGAAAAACCCUGUUGCAUGGACAGAUGAACACACUAAAGUUGUUAAGCUCAUAAAAAGUUCUAUUAAAGAUAUUCCAUGUUUGUUUCUUGCUAAUCCUGCAUUACCUAAAAUAGUUGAAACUGAUGCAUCCGAUUUAGGUUAUGGAGGAAUAUUAAAGCAAAGAGAAAAUAAUAAAGAACAAAUAGUACAGUACAUUUCUGCUCAUUGGAAUGAAUGUCAAAGAAAUUACUCUACUAUUAAAAAAGAAAUUCUUUCUAUUGUUUUAUAUAUAUCUAAAUUUCAAAGUGAUUUAUUAAAUCAAAAAUUUUUACUCAGAAUUGAUUGUAAAGCUGCAAAACAUGUUUUGGAAAAAGAUGUUCAAAAUAUUGCUUCGAAAUAGAUUUUUGCAAGAUGACAAGAUUUUGAAUGUUUUUUAUUUUGACAUUGAAUUUAUUAAAGGAGAUAUGAAUUCUAUCCCUGACUUUCUAACCAGGGAAUUUCUUCAAAACAGAUAAUGCCGCCCAAGAAAAAAGACAAAGAUAAAGUUGUUCUUAAAGACACUGAGUCACAAGCAACCUCCAAAGAAUCCCUAUCAACCCCCUCUAAAGAAAAAUUACUUUCUUCUGCCAUACCCAUCAAAUCAUGGAUUGAAAUGGUUGAAGAACAUGAAGCCCAAUAUAAAGCCAUAAUCUUCGAAGAUCAGGUAAAAGAAUGGAUGAAUUCUAUUACAAAGUCUCCAGAGCUUAUGCUCGCCUUACAAAAUAUUUUUCAAACCCAAGAGAAAGAAAAACUUGUUUCUAAAGCAAUUUCAAAACCUUCUUCCUCUAAAGAAAUCGUUUCAUGUGAAAGCUCUUUUUGGCAAAUUAUUGUUUCUCAAUCAAAGCUUUCACAAAAAUCAUCGAAUUGGCUUAAUAAAGCCUAUCAACAAAAUGUUUUAACUAUGGAUGAUGGGUUUUAUCAUUCUGAUCCAUUUCAAGCAAUUUCAAAGAUUUUCCCGAAAGGCUGGUUUUUCAAACCAUGGGAUUUAUCUAAACCCAAGUCUUUCUACCAAGGCAUACUUGAGUUCACUGAGUCAGUAAAGUUUAAACAUUUCUUCCUUAGUGAAGCUCAUUCUGAGCCAGUCUAUUCCACGGCUACCAUUCUUAAAGUCUUAAGUCCAAAUCAGUGGGGUGACCAACUCCACAAACCAAAAACUUUUCCCGCCAAUUUUCAAAGACGUUUAAACUAUUGCUUAUCUUUCUCCUACUGGGAUUAUCAGCAGGCCUGGUUUAACACAUUUUUUAUCCAAAAUCCAAAAAAGUAUCACUCUUGGUUAUUUUUCUUUAAUUCAAAAAUAACCGUCCAAAGCCUUCCAAAUUGGUUCCAAAUUUGGUGGAACUACUUUGGGCCAAGCCCAGAUAUUCUAACCCAGAAUGCCAUUAAAUGUUUAAAUUUAUUUAAAGCCCAUUAUGUUCCUUCUGAGUCUGAGAAGAUGUUUCCUCCUUUUCUCUGUUUCUGUACAAACUUUUUCCUUCCCUGGGUUUGGAUGUGGAAUUUCCAAUACCACACCAUAGACACCCAACUAGUCUUACAAAGAACCUUCAAAGUCAAAUGGUGGUCUAAAUUUGACGAACAGUCAAAAUUGUCUAAAGCCACGGUCCAAUCCUGGCUUUUUACAAGAGGCCUCAUUGCCCCAAGUAAAGACAUAGUCAAAGCCCAAAGCACUUUCCUUGCCCAGAGAGUAAAAGCCCAAUCCCUGCUGGCCAGUGCUAAAACCGAGGAUGAAUAUUUCAAAGUAAUGCAGCAACUUCUUGCCACAAGAUCAGAGACAUCUGCUGCAAGUUCUUCAUCAAGCUCCUCAGGAGAAGCUGAACCGUUCAUCUCCCUCGGAAAUGAAAAUGAAGAUGACUGCUUCGGAAUAUUCUCUCCAUUAAAGCAUUAAAGCUUCGUAUAAAAAAAAAAGAUUGUCUUAUAUCACUUAUUUCCUUAUAAUUAUUACUCAUGUAAUUAACGAUUGAAUUUCUCUUUGUAUCAAUUACUUUGUUAUAAUUAUUUUCCGAAUGUAUUUGUAUUUAUAUUAUUUUUGGGUGGUCCCCUGGACACAAGUGAGAGCGCACAUGUCUCUUUACCCAUCUUUUGUUUUCUUUCAAAGUUGUAAAGAAGAAAGAUGCUGUCCCCUACAUGCCUUGACGAUCCCGCUCCAUCAUCUACGCAUGUGAAGCUAUAGCAAAAGCCAAUAAAGCAAAGUCCAUUCACCAUGAUGCUGUCUCCACUCACCAACCACGUAGGUAAAGCUACAGUUUCGCUACACUGGACAAAUAAAGCUACAGUUGAAGCUACAGACUCGCCACAGUUCAAGCUUCAGUUGUCUUAAAUUCAAAGCUGUGUGACAUUGAGAGUCAGAGUUUUGUUUACAACAUUUACAAUUUCUCUCUCUCUCUCUCGGGAAAUCAGGAUCAAGACAUUAAGGAAAAUUAUUCCUGUCUUGUAAUUUUCCCUUUCUACAAAAUCUGUAAACAUUUUCCAUUGUAAAGCUCUCGGAUCCAAGCAAUCUAUGUAAGCAUCUCUCAUUUAAUCUAUUUAAAGUUUCAAAUGUACGUUUAAAUUUCUGCAAAUUUUAAAUUUAUAUACACUACUACAUUCUUCUGAGGCAUAAAGACCGGAUCUCUCCCUUUGGUCGUAUUUCUCUUCUCCCUUCAAUCAAUCAGAAUACUAUUUCUGGGAUCCAGAUCUAGUAUUAUCUAUGAGCCCUUAGAUUUUGUUGCUAGGCUUGAUUAAAAUUAUUUUGGUAUAUCGGCUGGAAAACAGAACGUGCGUGAUAUUGAUAUGUUUUAAGUCAGAUUUGGUCACAAAGACAGAUUAAGUUCUGCAUCAAUCUGGUAACAACGCCACGUACUGAUUUAAUUUCAAGUUAUAGAUUGCAUAUUAAACCUUAAUACAUAAAUUUGUCUUAAUUUACAUCCAUCCUUCGAUCCUAUUUACCUUCUGAGUAACUUGGAUCCGAGAGGUUUAAUCUUAUUUAAAAUUUCUGCAAAUUUUAAAUUUAUAUAAACUAAAUAGGAUAGAUGCUUACAUAGAUUGCUUGGAUCCGAGAGGUUUAAUCCUAUUUACCUUCGAUCCUAUACAGAAGGAUAUAGGAUCGAAAGAUGGAUGUGAUAUUAGAAAAUGAAAAUGUUUUAUUAAAGAAAUCAAGUCGCAAAGGUGGGAUGGGUUCUUAUUAUUAUGAUUAAAUCGGUACGUGGCGUUGUUCUACCUGAUCAAUGCAGAGACUAGUUUGCCUCAGGGACCAGAUCUGACUUAGAACAGAUCAAUAUCCCGCAUGUUCUGGUUUCCAGCCGAUAUACCCAUUUAAUUAAUUCUUUACCAAAUAUUGAUUAGAUUCUUUAAGCAGAAAAUAUUUUCUUUAGCAAGCCUAGCAACAGAUCUAAAGGCUCAUAGAUAGUAUUAGAUCUGGAUCCCAGAAAUAAUACUCUGAAUGGUUGGAGGGAGAAGAGAAGAUACAACAGAAGACAGAGAUCCGGUCUCUUUGCUUCUGAGGAACGUAACAAUUUUUAUGGCAGAUCUGAUACAAAUCAGUCUGCAAAGCAUGCAUAAAAUUUAAAUUUCUGAAACUUAAAUGCUUUAAAAUAAAUUGUGGAAAUUAAAAAUGCUUUAAAUUAAAUUACAGAAAUUUAAACAUACAGAAAUUUAAUUUUAUUACAAGCUUUAAAAGAAAUUACAAAUUUUACAUUUGAUUUUUCUUUGCUUUGUUUUUCUUUAAAGGAAAAUGUUACAGAAGGAAUGGGAAAUUAAUCUGAAGACAGAAAAAUUCCUUGUCGUCUUUCGAUUCCCGAUUCCCAGAGAGAGAGAGAGAGAGAAAAGGAGAAGAAGAAAGAAGAAAAGAAAAAAUAGAAUUCUAAAAAAUCUGAAGAGUCUAAGUCUUCCUCCCGAUUUAAAUACAAAGACUGGAUCUUUAACUGUAGCGAGUCUGUAGCUUCACAACUGUAGCGAAACUGUAGCUUCAUCACUGUAGCGAAACUGUAGCUUGAGACAGUAGUCUUUGGAGUUGUCUUUAGAUAUUCUUUAAAAAUACAUGUAUGAUUUGGGUGAAGAGACAUGUGCGCUCUCACUUGUGUACAGGGGACCACCCGAGGGUAUAAAAAUAUAUAUUCUCAUACAAGAAAGGAAAGAUACAUAGUAGAAAUAUGGAAUAUAAUUACUCUUUUUUUUUUACAUGCAUAUAAAUGAUAACUAUUUACAAUGCUUUAUCGGAGAGAAAAUUCCAAAACAGUCGUCUUCAUUUUCGUCUCCAAGAGAAAUAAAUGGCUCUUCAUCUUGUUCAUCGUCAUCAGAGGAGUCAGCAAUUGAAGACUUUGAUAUUGAAGUGAGGAGCUGCUCCAUAACUUUAAAAUAUUAUUCUUCAGUUUUGUCCAAAACAGUCGUCUUCAUUUUCGUCUCCAAGAGAAAUAAAUGGCUCUUCAUCUUGUUCAUCGUCAUCAGAGGAGUCAGCAACUGAAGACUUUGAUCUUGAAGUGAGGAGCUGCUCCAUAACUUUAAAAUAUUCUUCUUUAGUUUUGGCGCUGGCCAAAAGAGAUUGGGCUUUGGAUUUUUGGGUAAGAAAUGUUUCUUGGACUUUGACAUCUUUAAUGGUGGGGGGUAAGAAGCCUUUAGAACAGAGCCAACUUUGGAUCAGAGUGUCAGUUAAUUUGGUAUGUUCGUCGAACUUUGACCACCAUUUUACUUUAAAAGUUCUUUGUAAAAUGAGUUGGGCUUCUUGGGUAUGAUAUCUGAAAUUCCACAUUCAUACCCAUGGAAGGAAGAAAUUUGUACAGAAACAGAGAAAGGGGGGAAACCUUUUCUCAGAUUCAGAAGGGAUAUAAUGGGUUUUAAAGAGGUUUAAACAAUGGGUGGCAUUUGGAGUUAAAAAUCUGAGGUAUUGAGUCAAAAGAGUUCUACCAUUGUUGAAACCAAUUAGGGAGGCUUUGAACGGUUAUUUUUUAAUUAAAGAAAAAUAACCAGGGAUGAGAUUUCUUUGGGUUUUGUAUGAAAAAUGUGUUAAACCAUGCUUGUUGGUAAUCCCAAUAGGAAUAAGACAAACAAUGAGGUAAACGCAUUUGAAAAUUUAGAGGGAAGCUUUUUUGUUUAUGGAGUUGGUCUCCCCACUGGUUUGGGCUCAAGACUUUUAGAAUAGUAACCGUGGAGUAGGCUGGUUCUGAAUGGGUUUCACUGAGAAAGAAAUGCUUGAAUUUUACAGACUCAGUGGCUUCUAAAAUGCUUUGAUAAUAAGACUGGGAUUUUGUCAAAUCGCAAGGUUUGAAAAACCAGCCUCUAGGGAAAAUUUUUGAAAUAGCUUGGAAAAGAUCAGUAUGGUAAAAACUAUCCUCCAUAGAUAAAAUAUUUUGGAAAUGAGUUUUAUCAAACCAAUCGGAGGUUUUCUUUGAAAGUUUUGGCUGGGAAAGAACAAUUUGAGAAGAUGAACUUUCACCAGAAACAACCACAUUUUGAGAAGAGGGUUUUGAAAUCUCUUUAGGAAUAUUUUCUUUAGGAGAAAUUUGGCUUUGAGAAAAGCUUUGUAGGGCGAGCAUAAGCUCAGGGGAUUUAGAAAUGAAUUUCAUCCAUUCAUUUACCUGUUCAUGUGAGGCAAGCACUUUAGACUGGGCUUCUUGAUCCUCUAUCAUGUCGAUCCAAGACUUGAUUGGCAUGGCAGAAGAAAUUAAUUUUUCUUUAGGUGGAGAGGUUUGGGAAGCUUUAAAAGGUGUUUGGGACACAGGGUCUUUAAGAAUCCCUUUCCCCUUGUCUUUCUUUUUGAGAGGCAUUUAUCUGUUUUGGAGAAAUUCCCUAGUUAGAAAAUCAGGGAUAGAAUUUGUAUCUCCUUUAAUAAAUUCAAUAUCAAAAUAAAAAACACUUAAAAUAGCUUGUCAUCGUGCAAAAAUUUGUUUUGAUGCAAUGUUUUGAAUAUCUUUUUCUAAAACAUGUUUUGCAGCUUUGCAAUCAAUUCGAAGUAAAAAUUUUUGAUUUAGUAAAUCACUUUGGAAUUUAGAAAUGCACAAAACAAUAGAAAGAAUUUUCUUUUUGAUAGUAGAAUAUUUUUCUGGCAUUCAUUCCAAUGUGCAGAAACAUAUUGUACUAUUUAUUCUCUAUUAUCUUCCUUUUGUUUUAAUAUGCCUCUAUAACCUAAAUCUGAUGCAUCCGUUUCAACAAUUUUAGGUAAUGCAGGAUUUGCAAGAAAUAAACAUGGAAUGUUUUUAACAGAAUUUUUUAUUAGUCUAACAGCUUUAGUAUGUUCAUCUGUCCAAGCAACGAGAUUCUUUUUUAACCUAUCAUGCAGUGGUUUAGACAUCCUAUUGAUGUUGGGACAGAAAUCAAGAACAUAAUUUAAACUACCUAAAAAACUUUGUAGUUGUGUUUUAUCAAGAAUUUUAUCAGGAAAUUUAUCAGCAAACAAAAGUGAUCGCUCAAUAGGUGUAAUAGUUCCUUUAUAAAUAUAGUGACCGAGGAAUCUUACUUUUGUUUGAAACAAUGAGACUUUAGAACUAGAAAUGGCUAGGCCAGCCUUUCUAGUGGCAAGGUAAAAAGUUUUUAAAUGUUUGAAAUGUUGAUCAAUUGUCUGAGAAAAAAUCAACACAUCGUCUAUAUAAACAAUGCAAAACUCAGAAAAAAGAUUAUAAAUAUCAUUCAUGAUUCUUUGAAAUUCUGAGGGUGCAUUCUUUAGUCCAAAUGGCAUUACAGUCCAUUCAUACUGUCCAAAAGGAAUAGUAAAGGCAGUUUUAUAACAGUCUUUAGGGUGAAUUUGAAUUUGCCAAAAAUCAGAUUUCAUGUCAAAUUUUGAAAAAAUAAAGGCAGAAUAUAAUUUCUGGAUGAUUUGCAUUAUCCCUAAGGAAAAGUCUGGUAAAGAAUGUGGUUUUAUAGCUUUGGAAUUCACUAAGUUUCCUACACCUUAGAUUGUGUAGUAACUCAGCGUUCUUAUCCCUAAGGUGCGAAGGGUCACCUAUGAAAUAAAAGGAUAUAGUCAAAAUCAGGGUAACAACAGCAUCCUGAAUUGGACUAUUGAACUCAUCAAGAAUGGGGGCUCCAUUCUCAUCGACUUGAAUAGAGUUUAGGACAUCUAAUUGUUGCUGUUGAGUGAGAAGAUGAUCCCACCAACCUUUAAGUUGACCAGUAAAACCAGCCACCAGAAUUUCUGUUAUGGCUCUAUCAGAAGUUCCCGCCUGAGUUUUAUAGGCAUUGGCUGCCAUGGUCAUUUGUUGCAACAAGCCUAAGAUGUUGUACUUAGACAUACCAUCAAUAUUCCACUCAUAGACAAAAGAUGCAUUAAAUCUCGAUUAAUUUAAAUCACUCGGUCUAUUAUCUAUAGCUAGAUCUGAUGGAGUCUUGACAGUAGGUAAGGCUAAUUCCCAAUGGAUUUUGUUGGCUUUAGGAGCAGAUGGUUCAUCUAUAAAUGCUUUUAUAUCAGAAGAGGCUAUAGACAUUGUCAUGUUCCAGUACACCAAUCUUGCUAGAUUGAGCACUAUCUGGACCUUAGAAGAAGAAGAAGAAGCUUCUAUUCUAUCUAAUUGGUCUCUAAUGGCUUUAGCAAAAUCCGAUUUUGACUCUUGAACAAGCUUUUGGCUAGUUUUCGAAACCUGAAAAGGUUUGAAAAUAGGUUCCUUAAGCUUUUUGUCAGAAUCUGAUUUUGUGCUAAUAGGAGAAACAGCUAUGGUUGACUUUUGGAAUUGCCUUUCUAUCCUAGUCAACUGUUUUCAUAUUGUAUUUAAGUUAGUAUUACAUGAAUUAUUCUGUUGAAUAAUACUACUUAAAUUCGCAUCAGAAUCAUUUGGUUUAGGGAUUUUAUAAGGUGAGGCUCUAAUCUCAACAGGAGGUUCAUCGUGGUUUAUAGCUAAACUCCUAAGAGGUGGAUGCUCAGAUUCUCUGACUCUAUUGCUAUCAGAAAGUUUUCACUCAGGAAUUUUCUUCCUAAUAGUAAUAGGGUUUGACUCUUUAAAAGGAUAAGAGAUGUUGUUAUUCGAAGAAUAUAUCUCAAACCAAUCAAAAAACAAUAUAUGAAUUUUAUGUGAAUUUACAAAUUCAUAAUAUGUCUCUUGAAUUUCUUUUCUUUGAUUUAGAAAAUGUUUAAAAAACCAAAGUCUUUUGUCUUUAUUACCGUCUGAAUAAAAAUCAUUAUGGAGAAAAGUUUUAUCCAGUUCAAAAUCUUUUUCAAUAACAUUUAUAACAUUUUCUGUGACUGCAGAAAACGUAGGAGAAGUUGGAGGAGAAGGUUCCUUCUCUUCCUGUCUUUGUUCAUGUUGGCUGCUAGUGUAGAUUGGGUGAGGAACACUAGUGGUAUAAUCAACAGAAUGUAUAGAGGAACUAGGUAUAUCCAAAGUGGAAAACGUAGGUUGACUCUUUACAGGUUGGAAAGGGAGAUUUAUAAUAGAAGGUACUUUUGAAAAUUUUCUUUCCAAUGAAGGAAUUCUUGAACAUGAAUAUUUAUCAGAGAAUCUGGUUGAUGUAGAUCUCUGAAAGGAUAAUUUGACUUUACCAUCUGAAUACUGAGUCACAUGUUGCAACUCUGUAUUUGGCUCAAGUUGUUUUGGAAUCACUGGGGCAGUGGCUCCUUCAAGAAUCCAUUCAUCGGGAAGAUUGACAUCUUUCCAUUGAAUAGGUUUUGGAAUAACAGUGUUGGCUUUAGACAGGUCAGUCUGUAAGAGAAGAGUCUCAUCUCUUUUUGACUGAAAUUUAUGUUGCGUUCUAAACGUAGAAAUCAUAGCUUUGUAGGAAAUUUUAUAAAUUAAGGCUACAGGAAUAGAUCCCUCAAUCAUAUCAUAAUUGUGGGUCUUGAUUUGUAAAAUCAUACUUUUUAAAAUGUUCUUAUCUUUUAAGGAAAUCGUUAUGUUUGGAUAACAAUUAAAUGAAAUGGGACCUUUACACAGACUUGAUUCUAUACUACUUAGUAAAGAAUCAUCAAAAGAGAUGAAUCGACCAUCUCUCAGAACGGCAAGGAUGGAAGUAUUAAGUCAUUCUUUAGUAAAGGGUUUUAUGCCGACUUGUAUAAAGCCGAUGUGAAUAUAAUUAAAGCUUUUAUCUCUUAAUUUCUUUAAAGACUGCUCUGAAAAUAAAUGAAUUGUUUCAAAAGGCUUUGAAAGGGUUAUAUCGCGUUCUUCAGUCUUUAUAACAUAAUCAUUCUUUAAAAAAUCAAGCUUUUUUGUUUUAUAAAUCAUUUCUUUAUUAACUUUAGGUAAUUCCCAGUUAUUAAUUGCUUUAUUGAAAUCUUCAAUCACAAAUUCUUCCGAAUUCACAACAUUCUUUGAAUCACUAGUUCUUCCAGAAGAAGAGCUAGAGAAAGAUGAUGCUUUACAGAGUAGAGAAUCCAUGGUGUUAAAACUAAAAUCUAUAUGAAUGCCUACAGGUAUGGUUUUACAGCCCUAAACGGAAAAUCUUAUCCUAAAACGGGACUUACUACCAGUAAAAAAUUCAGCACACACACAGAAAACAAUUUAAAACAACAUAGAUUCUUUACAAUAUAACUUUAAUUAUAUUCACAUUGGCUUAAUACAAGUCGGCAUAAAACCUCUUACUAAAGAAUGACUUAAUACUUCCAUCCUUGCCGUUAUGAGAGAUGGUCGAUUCAUCUCUUUUGAUGAUUCUUUACUAAGUAGUAUAGAAUCAAGUCUGUGUAAAGGUCCCAUUUUAUUUAAUUGUUAUCCAAACAUAACGAUUUCCUUAAAUUCUUUUACAGAAACUAUUACACAUAUUGCUAUCAUUUCUGAUAGCAAUAGAGUCAUAGAAUCUGAGCAUCCACCUCUUAGGAGUUUAGUUAUAAACCACGGUGAACUUCCUGUUGAGAUUAGAGCCUCACCUUAUAAAAUCCCUAAACCAAAUGAUUCUAAUGCGAAUUUAAGUAGUAUUAUUCAACAGAAUAAUUCAUGUAAUACUAACUUAAAUACAAUAUGAAAACAGUUGACUAGGAUAGAAAGGCAAUUCCAAAAGUCAACCAUAGCUGUUUCUCCUAUUAGCACAAAAUCAGAUUCUGACAAAAAGCUUAAGGAACCUAUUUUCAAACCUUUUCAGGUUUCGAAAACUAGCCAAAAGCUUGUUCAAGAGUCAAAAUCGGAUUUUGCUAAAGCCAUUAGAGACCAAUUAGAUAGAAUAGAAGCUUCUUCUUCUUCUUCUAAGGUCCAGAUAGUGCUCAAUCUAGCAAGAUUGGUGUACUGGAACAUGACAAUGUCUAUAGCCUCUUCUGAUAUAAAAGCAUUUAUAGAUGAACCAUCUGCUCCUAAAGCCAACAAAAUCCAUUGGGAAUUAGCCUUACCUACUGUCAAGACUCCAUCAGAUCUAGCUAUAGAUAAUAGACCGAGUGAUUUAAAUUAAUCGAGAUUUAAUGCAUCUUUUGUCUAUGAGUGGAAUAUUGAUGGUAUGUCUAAGUACAACAUCUUAGGCUUGUUGCAACAAAUGACCAUGGCAGCCAAUGCCUAUAAAACUCAGGCGGGAACUUCUGAUAGAGCCAUAACAGAAAUUCUGGUGGCUGGUUUUACUGGUCAACUUAAAGGUUGGUGGGAUCAUCUUCUCACUCAACAGCAACAAUUAGAUGUCCUAAACUCUAUUCAAGUCGAUGAGAAUGGAGCCCCCAUUCUUGAUGAGUUCAAUAGUCCAAUUCAGGAUGCUGUUGUUACCCUGAUUUUGACUAUAUCCUUUUAUUUCAUAGGUGACCCUUCGCACCUUAGGGAUAAGAACGCUGAGUUACUACACAAUCUAAGGUGUAGGAAACUUAGUGAAUUCCAAAGCUAUAAAACCACAUUCUUUACCAGACUUUUCCUUAGGGAUAAUGCAAAUCAUAUAACUUGGAAGAAGAAAUUCCUUGCAGGUUUACCGACCCUACUAGGAGAAAAGGUUAGGAAUUCCAUUAAAGCCCUAUAUGACAACUGGAUUCCUUAUGAUGAGCUUACCUAUGGUGAACUUGUCAGUUUUGUCAACAAAGAAGGUUUAAAGAUUUGUCAAGAUUUGAAGUUACAGAAACGACUAAAAUGGGAGUUUAGGAAAUCUAAGCAAGAAUUGUUAGUUUCUGUAAACAAUUUAAUUAUGACCCCUUUAAAAUUUCUACUUCUAAGGAUUGUAAUGGUAAGUGUUCUUCGAAACGUUACAAAAAACAUUACAAAUCAAAAAGCCAUAGGAAACCCUUUCAAGAUUUUAGAGAACUUUCUUAUAAGAAACCAUCGAGGCCUUAUAAGAAGCCCAACUUCUCUAAAAGGAAAGAGUUUAGAGCCAAACCAAAAACCCCUUUUAACUACAGAGAAGCCACAUGUUACAAAUGUGGAAAGAAAGGCCAUACUGUAAAAUUCUGUCGUAUGAGCAGAAAGCUCCAUGAGCUUGGCCUUGAUGAAGAAAUUCUUUUUAAAGUUGCCCCUUUACUUGUAGAGUCUUCUGACUCUGAGUCUUUCAUGACGGGAGAUAGUGAGCCUCUACAGGUUGAUGAGUUAAAUGACUCUGAAUCUGUUUCUUCUAGUGAUUCUGACACCAGUAAUUCAGAUUCUUAUUUAAAGAAAAUCAAUGUUUUGACCAAAGACCAAGAAAUCUUUCUUGAGCUUGUUAAACAUAUUUCUGAUCCAAAUCUUCAAAAGGAAUACCUUGAUAAACUUUUAAAAACCCUGGAUUCUAAUAAAGCAGAAACUUCUAAAGUUCCAAUUAUUAAAAAGAAUUCUUACGAUCUCACUGAAAUUUUGGGUAAAAAGAAAACAAAGAAAAUAAUCCCCAAUAUCCAAGAUCUUCAAACAGAAAUCAAAGAAAUCAAACUUGAGAUUAAAGAAUUACAAGAAAAACAAAAGAAUGAUUCUGAAACCAUUCAACUUCUCCUACAAAAACAAUUAGAAGAUAAUUCUGAUAAAGAAGUUGAAUCUGAUGGUGAUAAUGAACAAAAUCUUGAAAACAUUGAAUCUAUACCCAAUGAUUUUCUGUUUGUUUUAAAACAAAUCACUACCAGAAAAUACUUGAUUAAAAUCACUUUAAUCUUUUCAAAAGAUUUUGAAAUUGACACCAUUGCCCUCUUUGACACUGGUGUCGAUUUAAAUUGUAUUAAAGAGGAUAUCGUCCCUAAAAAAUUUCAUGAAAAGACAAAAGAAAGACUGUCAGCCGCCAAUAAUUCAAAAUUAAAAAUUAAAUUAAAAGUUGAUGCCUCAGUGCAUAACAAUGGUUUUGAAUUCAGAACUUCCUUUCUUCUUACAAAUGACAUACACCAUACUGUCAUUUUAGGAACUCCAUUUAUAAAUCUUAUCACCCCAUAUACUGUCAAUUAUGAUAGUAUAUCUUUUAAAGCAAAAAACCAAAAACUUGUUUUCCCUUUUAUUGAGAAACCAAAAACAAGAAACUUAAAUAUUGUCAAAGCUUGUUCUGUUUACCAGAACCAAAUCAAUGCCAUACUUAAAUCUAAACAAAAUAACUUGCCUUGUUUAAAAAAGGAUUUAAGUUUAUAAAGAAUUGAAAGCCAAUUACAAAAAGACUUUAUACAAAGAAAAAUCUCUAAUUUUAAAGAUCUCAUUGAAAAAGAAAUAUACGCUGAUUUACCAUCUGCUUUUUGGAAUAGAAAACAACAUUUGGUAGAUUUGCCCUAUGAAAAUUCUUUUGAUGAAAAACAAAUACCCACUAAAGCUCGUCCAAUCCAAAUGAACAUGGAAUUGGAACAACACUGUAAAAAUGAGAUAAAAGAUUUAGAAACUAAAGGACUCAUUGUAAAAUCUAGAUCCCCGUGGUCUUAUGCCGCUUUUUAUGUAAAUAAAAAUUUCAAAAUAAAAAGAGAAACACCAAGACUUGUAAUAAACUACAAACCCUUAAAUAAAUCAUUAAAAUGGAUUAGGUAUCCUGUACCUAAUAAAAAAGAUUUGCUCCAGAAAUUAUGUUCUGCCUUUAUUUUUUCAAAAUUUGACAUGAAAUCUGGUUUUUGACAAAUUCAAAUUCACCCUAAAGACCGUUAUAAAACUGCCUUUACUGUUCCUUUUGGACAGUAUGAAUGGACUGUAAUGCCAUUUGGACUAAAGAAUGCACCCUCAGAAUUUCAAAGAAUCAUGAAUGAUAUUUAUAAUCUUUUUUCUGAGUUUUGCAUUGUUUAUAUAGACGAUGUGUUGAUUUUUUCUCAGACAAUUGAUCAACAUUUCAAACAUUUAAAAACCUUUUACCUUGCCACUAGAAAGGCUGGCCUAGCCAUUUUUAGUUCUAAAGUCUCAUUGUUUCAAACAAAAGUAAGAUUCCUUGGUCACUAUAUUUCUAAAGGAACUAUUAUGCCUUUAUUUUUUCAAAAUUUGACAUGAAAUCUGGUUUUUGACAAAUUCAAAUUCACCCUAAAGACCGUUAUAAAACUGCCUUUACUGUUCCUUUUGGACAGUAUGAAUGGACUGUAAUGCCAUUUGGACUAAAGAAUGCACCCUCAGAAUUUCAAAGAAUCAUGAAUGAUAUUUAUAAUAAUUUUUCUGAGUUUUGCAUUGUUUAUAUAGACGAUGUGUUGAUUUUUUCUCAGACAAUUGAUCAACAUUUCAAACAUUUAAAAACCUUUUACCUUGCCACUAGAAAGGCUGGCCUAGCCAUUUCUAGUUCUAAAGUCUCAUUGUUUCAAACAAAAGUAAGAUUCCUUGGUCACUAUAUUUNNNNNNNNNNNNNNNNNNNNNNNNNNNNNNNNNNNNNNNNNNNNNNNNNNNNNNNNNNNNNNNNNNNNNNNNNNNNNNNNNNNNNNNNNNNNNNNNNNNNNNNNNNNNNNNNNNNNNNNNNNNNNNNNNNNNNNNNNNNNNNNNNNNNNNNNNNNNNNNNNNNNNNNNNNNNNNNNNNNNNNNNNNNNNNNNNNNNNNNNNNNNNNNNNNNNNNNNNNNNNNNNNNNNNNNNNNNNNNNNNNNNNNNNNNNNNNNNNNNNNNNNNNNNNNNNNNNNNNNNNNNNNNNNNNNNNNNNNNNNNNNNNNNNNNNNNNNNNNNNNNNNNNNNNNNNNNNNNNNNNNNNNNNNNNNNNNNNNNNNNNNNNNNNNNNNNNNNNNNNNNNNNNNNNNNNNNNNNNNNNNNNNNNNNNNNNNNNNNNNNNNNNNNNNNNNNNNNNNNNNNNNNNNNNNNNNNNNNNNNNNNNNNNNNNNNNNNNNNNNNNNNNNNNNNNNNNNNNNNNNNNNNNNNNNNNNNNNNNNNNNNNAAUUCUGUUAAAAACAUUCCAUGUUUAUUUCUUGCAAAUCCUGCAUUACCUAAAAUUGUUGAAACAGAUGCAUCAGAUUUAAGUUAUGGAGGCAUAUUAAAACAAAAGGAAGAUAAUAGAGAACAAAUAGUACAAUAUGUUUCUGCACAUUGGAAUGAAUGCCAGAAAAAUUAUUCUACUAUCAAAAAGGAAAUUCUUUAUAUUGUUUUGUGCAUUUCCAAAUUCCAAAGUGAUUUACUAAAUCAAAAAUUUUUACUUCGAAUUGAUUGCAAAGCUGCAAAACAUGUUUUAGAAAAAGAUGUUCAAAACAUUGCAUCAAAAUAAAUUUUUGCAUGGUGGUAAGCUAUUUUAAGUGUUUUUUAUUUUGAUAUUGAAUUUAUUAAAGGAGAUACAAAUUCUAUCCCUGAUUUUCUAACUAGGGAAGUUCUCCAAAACAGAUAAAUGCCGCCCAAAAAGAAAGACAAGGGGAAAGGGAUUCUUAAAGACCCUGUGUCCCAAACACAUUCUAAAGCUUCCCAAACCUCUCCACCUAAAGAAGCCCAGUAUAAAGCGCUUGCCUUACAUGAAUAGGUAAAUGAAUGGAUGAAAUCCAUUUCUAAAUCCCCUGAGCUUAUGCUCGCCCUACAAAGUUUUUCUCAAAGCCAAAUUUCUCCUAAAGAAAAUAUUCCUAAAGAGAUUUCAAAACCCUCUUCUCAAAAUGUGGUUGUUUCUGGUGAAAGUUCAUCUUCUCAAAUUGUUCUUUCCCAGCCAAAACUUUCAAAGAAAACCUCCGAUUGGUUUGAUAAAACUCAUUUCUAAAAUAUUUUAUCUAUGAAGGAUGGUUUUUACCAUACUGAUCCUUUCCAAGCUAUUUCAAAGUUUUUCCCUAAAGGCUGGUUUUUCAAACCUUGCGAUUUGACAAAACCCCAAUCUUAUUAUCAAAGCAUUUUAGAAGCCACUGAGUCUGUAAAAUUCAAGCAUUUCUUUCUUAGUGAAACCCAUUCAGAACCAGCCUACUCCACGGCUACUAUUCUAAAAGUCUUGAGCCCAAACCAGUGGGGAGACCAACUCCACAAACAAAAAAGCUUCCCUCUAAAUUUUCAAAUGCGUUUUCUCUGUUUCUGUACAAAUUUCUUCCUUCCAUGGGUAUGAAUGUGGAAUUUCAGAUAUCAUACCCAAGAAGCCCAACUCAUUUUACAAAGAACUUUUAAAGUAAAAUGGUGGUCAAAGUUCGACGAACAUACCAAAUUAACUGACACUCUGAUCCAAAGUUGGCUCUGUUCUAAAGGCUUCUUACCCCCCACCAUUAAAGAUGUCAAAGUCCAAGAAACAUUUCUUACCCAAAAAUCCAAAGCCCAAUCUCUUUUGGCCAGCGCCAAAACUAAAGAAGAAUAUUUUAAAGUUAUGGAGCAGCUCCUCACUUCAAGAUCAAAGUCUUCAGUUGCUGACUCCUCUGAUGACGAUGAACAAGAUGAAGAGCCAUUUAUUUCUCUUGGAGACGAAAAUGAAGACGACUGUUUUGGAAUUUUCUCUCCGAUAAAGCAUUGUAAAUAGUUAUCAUUUAUAUGCAUGUAAAAAAAAAGAGUAAUUAUAUUCCAUAUUUCUAUUAUGUAUCUUUCCUUUCUUGCAUGAGAAUAUGUAUUUUUAUACCCUCGGUUGGUCCCCUGGACACAAGUGAGAGCGCACAUGUCUCUUCACCCAAAUCAUACUUGUAUUUUUAAAGAAUAUCCAAAGACAACUCCAAAGACUACUGUCUUAAAGAUCCAGUCUUUGUAUUUAAAUCGGGAGGAAGACUUAGACUCCUCAGAUUUUUUAGAAUUCUAUUUUUUUCUUUUCUUCUUCUCCUUUUCUCUCUCUCUCUCUCUCUCUGGGAAUCAGGAAUCGGAAGACGACAAGGAAUUUUCCUGUCUUCAGAUUAAUUUCCCAUUCCUUCUGUAACACUUUCCUUUAAAGAAAAACAAAGCAAAGAAAAAUUAAAUGUAAGAUUUGUAAUUUUUUUUAAAGCUUGUAAUAAAUUUAAAUUUCUAUAUGUUUAAAUUUCCACAAUUUAAUUUAAAGUAUUUUUAAUUUUCGUAAUUUAUUUUAAAGCAUUUAAAUUUCAGAAAUUUAAAUUUUAUGCAUACUUUGCAGACUGAUUUGUAUUAGAUCUGCCAUAAAAAUUGUUACGUUUCUCAGAAGCAAAGAGACCAGAUCUCUGUCUUCUGUUGUAUCUUCUCUUCUUCCUCCAACCAUUCAGAGUAUUAUUUAUGGGAUCCAGAUCUAAUACUAUCUAUGGGCCUUUAGAUCUGUUGCUAGGCUUGCUAAAGAAAACAUUUUCUGCUUAAAGAAUCUAAUCAAUAUUUGGUAAAGAAUUAAUUAAAUGGGUAUACCGGCUGGAAACCAGAACAUGCGGGAUAUUGAUCUGCUCUAAGUCAGAUCUGGUCCCUAAGGCAGACUAGUCUCUGUAUUGAUCAGGUAGAACAACGCCACGUACCGAUUUAAUCAUAAUAAUAAGAACCCAUCCCACCUUUGCGACUUGAUUUCUUUAAUAAAACAUUUUCAUUUUCUAAUAUCACAUCCAUCCAAGUUACCCACAACUGAAGCAACAGACUCGCCACAGUUCAAGCUUCAGUUGUCUUAAAUUCAAAGCUGUGUGACAUUGAGAGUCAGAGUUUUGUUUACAACAUUUACAAUUUCGAUGGAUGAGGGAUGCUUACAUAGAUUGCUUGGAUUCGAGAGCUUUACAAUGGAAAAUGUUUACAGAUUUUGUAGAAAGGGAAAAUUACAAGACAAGAAUAAUUUUCCUUGAUGUCUUGAUCCUGAUUUCCCCCGAGAGAGAGAGAGAGAGCAGAAGGAAAUAGGAUCAAAGGAUAAUUGUGUUUUCGAAAUAAUUCUUUAUUGAUUGCUUUAGAUAAAACAAAUUGGAUCGCGGUUGUUCAAAUUUUAAAUUCAGUUACCAACUUUAGAUUAAGUAGAUUUGCUUUGGAUCGCGGUUGUUCAGGUUUUAUAUUUAUUAAAUGAGUACGUGGCGUUGUUAAACCAGAUCGAUGCAGAAGGGAAUCUGCCUUUGGACCCAGAUCUGACUUAGACCAGAUCAAUAGCCCGCACGUUCGGGUUUCCAGCCGAUAUACCAACUUAAUUUUGCUUUAACAAAUAAUAAUUAAGUUCUUUAAACGCGGUUGUCAGAUUUUAAAUAUUUUGCCAAAUCUUUAUUAAAUUCUUUAGCAAGCCUAGCAACACAUACAUCUAAAGGCUUGGGUACAAACACAGUACCAGAUCCGGUUCCCGAAAAUGGUGCUCUGAAGGAAUGGAGGGAGAAGAGAAGAUUUUACAACUGAGAAUCGAGAUCUGGUCUCUUUGCCUCAGAGGAACGUACAAUUUAUAUGGCAGAUCUGAUACAGAUCAGUCUGCAGAGCAUGCAUAGAAAGCUUUAAAAGACUGAAAUUUAAAUGCUUUAAAUGUAAAUUGCGGAAAUUUAAAUGUUACAUAAAAUUAAAUUGCAGAAAUUUAAAGUGCGGAAAUUAAAUUGCUUUGAAUAAUUACAUUUAUUUCUUUUGAUCCGACAACUUUAAGAUUUUUGUCUUCGGAUUCCAGAUUCCUAUUCCCAGAGAGAGAGAGAGAGAAUUCUAGAGAGAAAGGAGAGAAGAAGAGAGAGAAGUUCUAAACUUAGAAAUGAAAAACCUGAGGAGUCUGAGUCUUCCUCUCGGUUUUUAUACAAAGAUCUUUAAACUGUUCACUGUAGUGGGAUUUUAAGUGCACAGUAAACUCUGGAAAUCUGCACUGUUCACUGUAGCGGAGCUUUAAGUGCACAGUAACAUUUGGAUCGUAUCUUUGAAUAGCCGAUUCUUUGUACAAAAAUUGAAAUACAAUACGAGUGAAGAGACAUGUGCGCUCUCAAUUGUGUCCAGAGGGCCACCCGAAGAUACAGAACAAAUAAUUUUUUUUUUAAAUAAUAGUUAUUUACAAUGCUUUAAAGGAGAAAAAAUUCCAAAACAAUCAUCUUCAUUUUCGUCUCCAAGAGAAAUGAAUGGCUCUUCAUCUUCAUCUUCAUCUUCGUCUUCAGAGGUGUCAGCCACUGAUGACUUUGACCGGGAGGCGAGGAGCUGUUCCAUGGCUUUGAAGUAUUCUUUUUCUGUUUUGGUACUUGCCAAUAGUGAUUGGGCUUUGGAAUUUUGGGUCAAAAAGGUUUGUUGGGCUUUGGAAUGUGUUAUGGUGGGUUGAAGAAGGCCUUUCGCAGAGAGCCAAUCUCGGACCAAAUUUUCAGUUAAUUUUGACUGUUCGUCAAAUUUGGACCACCAUUUUACUUUAAAGGUUAUUUGAAGGAUGAGUUGGGAAUCUUGGGUAUGAAGCCUAAGGUUCCACAUCCAUACCCAUGGAAGGAAGAAAUUUGUACAGAAACAGAGAAAGGGGGGAAACCUUUUCUCGGAUUCAGAAGGAGUAUAGUGGGCUUUGAAGAUGUUUAAAUAAUGGGUGGCAUUCGGGGUUAAAAUUUGUGGUAUUGGGCCAAAAGUAUUCCACCAAUUAUGGAACCAGUUUGGAAGGCUUUGGACGGUUAUUUUUGGGUUGAAGAAAAAUAACCAAGAAUGAGAUUUUUUGGGAUUUUGGAUAAAAAAGGUGUUAUACCAGGCUUGUUGGUAAUCCCAGUAGGAAUAAGUCCGACAAUGAGGUAAACGUGUUUGAAAAUUUAAAGGGAAAGUUUUAAAAUUAUGGAGUAGGUCACCCUAUUGGUUUGGGCUCAAAACUUUUAAAAUAGUAGCCGUGGAAUAGGCUGGUUCUGAAUGUGAUUCACUAAGAAAGAAAUGUUUGAACUUAACUGAAUCAGUGAUUUCUAAAAUGCUUUGAUAGUAGGACUGAGGUUUUGUUAAAUCCCAUGGUUUAAAAAACCAGCCCUUAGGGAAAAACUUUGAAAUUGCUUGGAAAGGAUCAGCAUGGUAAAAUCCAUCUUCUAAAGAAAGAAUAUUUUGAAAAUGGGUUUUAUCAAACCAAUCGGAGGUUUUCUUUGAAUGUGAUAGUUGGGAAAGCACAAUUUGGGAAGAAGAACUUUCACCAGAGACAAUCACAUUUUGAGAAGAGGGUUUUGAGAUUUCUUUGGAGAUAAGGUUUUCUUUUUCUUCUUUUGAGAAAAUCUGGCUUUGAGAAAGGUUUUGUAAGGCGAGCAUAAGCUCAGGGGACUUUGUAAUGGAACUCAUCCAUUGUUUUACUUGGUCAUCAGAAGAGGUGGUUUUGUAAUGGGCACCAUGUUCUUCAACCAUUUCUAUCCAAGAUUUAAUAGGCAUGGCUAAGGAAAGUAAUUUGUCUUUAGAAGGGGUAGCUUGGGGUUCUUUAGAGGUUGCUCUAAAUUCAAAAACAUAUUGUACUAUCUGUUCUUUAUCAUUUUCUUUUUGCUUUAAUAUGCCUCCAUAACCUAAAUCAGAUGCAUCAGUUUCAACAAUUUUAGGUAAUGUAGGAUUAGCAAGAUAUAAACAUGGGAUGCUUUUCACAGAAUUCUUUAUAAGCUUUACAACCUUGGUAUGUUCAUCUGUCCAGGGAACAGGUUUUUUCUUUAAUCUAUCAUGCAAGGGUUUAGACAUCCUAUUAAUGUUAGGACAGAAAUCAAGAACAUAAUUUAAACUUCCAAAAAAUCUUUGUAAUUGGAUUUUGUCAAGAAUUUUAUCAGGAAAUUUAUCAGCAAACAAAAGAGAUCUCUCGAUUGGAGUGAUUGUUCCUUUAAAAAUAUGAUGACCAAGGAAUCUGACUUUUGUUUGAAAUGAAGAAACCUUAGAACUGGAAAUUGCCAAUCCAGCCUUUCUGGUGGCAAAAUAAAAAGUCUUUAAAUGUUUGAAAUGCUGGUCGAUAGAAUUUGAAAAUAUUAAUACAUCGUCAAUGUAAACAAUGCAAAAAUCAGAAUAAGGAUUAGAGAACAAAUUGCUAAAGCCAUUAGAGAACAAUUGGAUAGGAUAGAAACUGCUUCUUCCUCAUCUAGCAAAGUUCAGAUAGCCCCUGAUACUCCUCAAUCUAGCAAGAUUGGAGUAUUAGAACAAGACAAAAUGUACAGAGUUGCAAAUUGUUCUCUAUCGACUUGACUUUUUAUGGACUGAAAAGGGAGAUUUAUAACAGAGGGUAUUUUUGUAAAUUUCCUUUCUAAUGAAGGAAUGCUUGAGCACGAUGCUUUAUCAGAAAAUCUGGAUGAGGUGGAUCUCCUGAAUGACAGUUUGACUUUACCAUCGGAAUACUGAGUAACAUUUUGCAACUCUGUAUUGGGCUCAAGUUGUUUCGGAAUCGCUGGUGGAGCGGCUCCUUCAAGGAUCCAUUCCUCUGGAAGAUUUACAUCUUUCCAUUGGAUUGGUUUAGGAAUGACUGUGUUUGCUUUGGACAAAUCAGUCUGCAAGAGAAGGGUCUCAUCUCUUUUCGACUGGUAUUUAUGUGGAAGAUUUACAUCUUUCCAUUGGAUUUUGUAAGAAAUUUUAAAAAUUAAUGCAACAUGGAUGGAUCCCUUAAUCAUAUGAUAAUUAUGGGUUUUGAUUUGUAAAAUCAUGCUCUUUAAAAUAUUUUUGUCUUUAAGAGAAAUUGUUAUAUUGACAAAUCAGUCUGCAAGAGAAGGGUCUCAUCUCUUUUCGACUGGUAUUUAUGUUGUGUGCUAAAUGCAGAAAUCAUUUCCAAGCCUUCUUUGGUCAAAGGUUUUAUUCCUACUUGGAUUAAACCAAUGUGAAUAUAUUUGAAAUUCUUUUCUUUUAAUUUCUUUAAAGAUUUUUCUGAAAAUAAAUAAAUUGUUUCAAAAGGCUCUGAAAGAGUUAUAUCACGUUCUUCAGUCUUUAUAAUAUAAUCAUGCUUUAAAAGAUCAAGCAUUUUUGUUUUGUAAAUCUUUUCUUUGGAAAUUUUUGGAAGUUCCCAACAAUUAAUUGCUUUAUCAAAGUUCUCAAUAAUGAAUUCUUCUGAACUCACAACAUGCUUUGACUCACUAGUCUUCCCGGAAGAAGAGCUAGAAAAGGACGAUGUUCUAUAGAUCGGAGGAUCCAUGGUCAAGACCUUAUGGUAUAUUUUUGGUUUGGUCAAAAUGGCUACAGGUAUGGAUUUACAACCCUCAGCGGAAUCCUUAUCCUAAAACGGGACUUACAACCAGUAAAAAUUUACCACAAAACAAAACUUCAAAAUAAAACACAAGAUUUUAAACACGAAACUCUAAACAAUAAAACACUUUCCUCCCCUUGGCUAUGAUACCAGAAGGAAAUAGGAUCGAAGGAUAAUUGUGUUUUCGAAAUAAUUCUUUAUUGAUUGCUUUAGAUAAAACAAAUUGGAUACCAGAAGCCUUCAAAGAAGAACCUUCUACUCCUAAAGCCAACAAAAUUCAUUGGGAAUUAGCCCUUCCCAUUGUCAAGACUCCACCGGAUCUAGCAAUAGAUAAUAGACCAAGUGUAUUAAAUCAAUCCCGAUAUAAUGCAUCUUCAGUCUAUGAGUGGAAUAUUGACGGCAUGUCCGAAUACAAUAUCCUAGGAUUGUUGCAACAAAUGACAAUGGCANNNNNNNNNNNNNNNNNNNNNNNNNNNNNNNNNNNNNNNNNNNNNNNNNNNNNNNNNNNNNNNNNNNNNNNNNNNNNNNNNNNNNNNNNNNNNNNNNNNNNNNNNNNNNNNNNNNNNNNNNNNNNNNNNNNNNNNNNNNNNNNNNNNNNNNNNNNNNNNNNNNNNNNNNNNNNNNNNNNNNNNNNNNNNNNNNNNNNNNNNNNNNNNNNNNNNNNNNNNNNNNNNNNNNNNNNNNNNNNNNNNNNNNNNNNNNNNNNNNNNNNNNNNNNNNNNNNNNNNNNNNNNNNNNNNNNNNNNNNNNNNNNNNNNNNNNNNNNNNNNNNNNNNNNNNNNNNNNNNNNNNNNNNNNNNNNNNNNNNNNNNNNNNNNNNNNNNNNNNNNNNNNNNNNNNNNNNNNNNNNNNNNNNNNNNNNNNNNNNNNNNNNNNNNNNNNNNNNNNNNNNNNNNNNNNNNNNNNNNNNNNNNNNNNNNNNNNNNNNNNNNNNNNNNNNNNNNNNNNNNNNNNNNNNNNNNNNNNNNNNNNNNNNNNNNNNNNNNNNNNNNNNNNNNNNNNNNNNNNNNNNNNNNNNNNNNNNNNNNNNNNNNNNNNNNNNNNNNNNNNNNNNNNNNNNNNNNNNNNNNNNNNNNNNNNNNNNNNNNNNNNNNNNNNNNNNNNNNNNNNNNNNNNNNNNNNNNNNNNNNNNNNNNNNNNNNNNNNNNNNNNNNNNNNNNNNNNNNNNNNNNNNNNNNNNNNNNNNNNNNNNNNNNNNNNNNNNNNNNNNNNNNNNNNNNNNNNNNNNNNNNNNNNNNNNNNNNNNNNNNNNNNNNNNNNNNNNNNNNNNNNNNNNNNNNNNNNNNNNNNNNNNNNNNNNNNNNNNNNNNNNNNNNNNNNNNNNNNNNNNNNNNNNNNNNNNNNNNNNNNNNNNNNNNNNNNNNNNNNNNNNNNNNNNNNNNNNNNNNNNNNNNNNNNNNNNNNNNNNNNNNNNNNNNNNNNNNNNNNNNNNNNNNNNNNNNNNNNNNNNNNNNNNNNNNNNNNNNNNNNNNNNNNNNNNNNNNNNNNNNNNNNNNNNNNNNNNNNNNNNNNNNNNNNNNNNNNNNNNNNNNNNNNNNNNNNNNNNNNNNNNNNNNNNNNNNNNNNNNNNNNNNNNNNNNNNNNNNNNNNNNNNNNNNNNNNNNNNNNNNNNNNNNNNNNNNNNNNNNNNNNNNNNNNNNNNNNNNNNNNNNNNNNNNNNNNNNNNNNNNNNNNNNNNNNNNNUACGGUGAACUUGUCAGUUUCGUCAAUAAAGAAGGAUUAAAGAUUUGUCAAGAUUUGAAAUUACAGAAACGUCUUAAGUGGGAACUUAAAAGGUCUAAACAAGAGUUAGGCGGUUUCUGUAAACAAUUCAAUUAUGGCCCCUUUAAAACUUCUUAUCCCAAAGAUUGUAAUGGCAAGUGUUCUACUAAACCUCGUAGGAAACAUUACAAAUAAAAAACUUUUAGGAAACCCUUUCGUAAUUUUAGAGAACCUCCUUAUAAGAAACCUUCGAGGCCUUAUAAGAAACCCAAAUUCUCUAAAAGAAAGGAGUUUCGAGCCAAACCAAAGACCCCUUUCAAUUACAAAGAAGCUAUAUGUCAUAAAUAUGGCAUGAAAGGUCAUACUGCAAAUUAUUACAGGAUUAACAAAAAGCUUCGUGAACUUGACCUCGAUGAGGAAAUCCUUUCCAAAAUAGCCCCCCUUCUUGUCGAAUCUUCUGAUUCCGAAUCUUCUAUGUCGGGAGACAGUGAUCCAUAUCAAGUUGAUGAACUUUUUGACUCAGAUGACUCUGUAUCUAGCAGUAGUGAAUCUGAAUCUGAUUCAUAUUUAAAGAAAAUCAAUGUUUUGACUAAAGACCAAGAAACUUUUCUUGAACUUGUAAAGCAUAUUUCUGAUCCAAAUCUUCAAAAAGAAUAUCUUGAUAAACUUUUGAAAACUUUGGAUUUUAAUAAAGCCGAGACUUCUAAAGUCCCAAUUGUUAAAAAGAAUUCUUAUGAUCUUACUCAAAUUUUGGAUAAAAAGAAAACAAAGAAGACGGUUCCUAAUAUCCAAGAUCUUCAGAAAGAGAUAAAAGAAAUCAAAUGUGAAAUCAGAGAUUUAAAAGAAAAACAAAAAAGUGAUUCUGAUACUAUCCAACUUCUUUUACAAAAACAAUUGCAGGAUAAUUCAGACAAUGAAUCUAAUCCUGAUAAUGGUGAUGAUAUUAAAGUAGAAAACAUUGAGUCAGUACCCAAUGAUUUCCUAUUUGUUUUAAAGCAAAUCACCACAAGAAAGUAUUUGAUUAAAGUCACUUUAAUCUUUUCUGAUGAUUUUGCAAUGGACGCCAUUGCCCUUUUUGACACUGGCGCCGAUUUAAAUUGCAUUAGAGAAGACAUCGUCCCCAAAAGAUUUCAUGAAAAAACAAAAGAAAGACUUUCUGCCGCUAAUAAUUCAAAACUGAAUGUCAGUUCCAAGGUUGAAGCCUCAAUCCAUAAUAAUGGUUUUGAUUUUAAAACAUCUUUUGUCCUCACAAAUGAUAUUCAUCAUGCCAUCAUUUUGGGAACUCCUUUUAUAAAUCUUAUAACUCCAUAUACUGUCAAUUAUGAUAGUAUAUCCUUCAAAGCAAAAAACAAGAAACUUGUUUUCCCUUUUAUUGAAAAACCUAAAACAAGGAAUUUGAAUAUUGUUAAAGCCUGUUCUGUUUAUCAAAACAGAAUAAAUAACCUAAUUAAAUCAAAACAGCACGUCCAAUCCAGAUGAACAUGGAAUUGGAACAACAUUGCAAAAAUGAAAUCAAAGAUUUAGAGUCAAAAGAACUCAUUGUUAAGUCAAGGUCCCCAUGGUCUUGUGCCGCUUUUUAUGUUAAUAAAAAUUCUGAAAUUGAAAGAGGCACUCCUAGAUUAGUCAUAAACUACAAACCUCUUAAUAAUGCUCUAAAAUGGACUAGGUAUCCAAUACCUAAUAAAAAGGAUUUACUCCAAAAACUAUGUUCUGCUCUUAUUUUUUCAAAAUUCGACAUGAAAUCUGGUUUUUUGGCAAAUUCAAAUUCAUCCUAAUGACCGUUACAAAACUGCUUUUACUGUUCCAUUUGGACAGUAUGAGUGGACUGUUAUGCCCUUUGGUUUAAAGAAUGCACCCUCAGAAUUUCAAAGAAUUAUGAAUGAUAUUUAUAAUCCUUAUUCUGAUUUUUGCAUUGUUUACAUUGACGAUGUAUUGAUAUUUUCAAAUUCUAUCGACCAGCAUUUCAAAUAUUUAAAGACUUUUUAUUUUGCCACCAGAAAGGUUGAAUUGACAAUUUCUAGUUCUAAGGUUUCUUUAUUUCAAACAAAAGUCAGAUUCCUUGGUCAUCAUAUUUCUAAAGGAAUAAUCACUCCAAUCGAGAGAUCUUAAAGGAACAAUCACUCCAAUCGAGAGAUCUCUUUUGUUUGCUGAUAAAUUUCCUGAUAAAAUUAUUGAUAAAACCUAAUUACAAAGAUUUCUUGAAAGUUUAAAUUAUGUUCUUGAUUUCUGUCCUAACAUUAAUAGGAUGUCUAAACCCUUGCAUGAUAUAUUAAAGAAAAAACCUGUUCCCUGGACAGAUGAACAUACCAAGGUUGUAAAGCUUAUAAAGAAUUCUGUGAAAAGCAUCCCAUGUUUAUAUCUUGCUAAUCCUACAUUACCUAAAAUUGUUGAAACUGAUGCAUCUGAUUUAGGUUAUGGAGGCAUAUUAAAGCAAAAAGAAAAUGAUAAAGAACAGAUAGUACAAUAUGUUUCUGCACAUUGGAAUGAUUGCUAGAAAAAUUAUUCUACUAUCAAAAAAGAAAUUCUUUCCAUUGUUUUAUGCAUAACAAAAUUUCAAAGUGAUUUAUUAAAUCAAAAAUUUCUACUUAGAAUUGAUUGCAAAGCUGCAAAACAUGUUUUGGAAAAAGAUGUUCAAAAUAUUGCAUCAAAACAGAUUUUUGCACGAUGGCAAGCCAUUUUAAGUGUUUUUGAUUUUGAUAUUGAAUAUAUUAAAGGUGAUACAAAUUUUAUUCCUGAUUUUCUAACUCGGGAAUUUCUUCAAAACAGAUAAUGCCGCCAAAGAAGAAAGACAAAGGUAAAGCCGUUCUUAAAGAUUCUGAAUCUAGAGCAACCUCUAAAGAACCCCAAGCUACCCCUUCUAAAGACAAAUUACUUUCCUCAGCCAUGCCUAUUAAAUCUUGGAUAGAAAUGGUUGAAGAACAUGGUGCCCAUUACAAAACCACCUCUUCUGAUGACCAAGUAAAACAAUGGAUGAGUUCCAUUACAAAGUCCCCUGAGCUUAUGCUCGCCUUACAAAACCUUUCUCAAAGCCAGAUUUUCUCAAAAGAAGAAAAAGAAAACCCUAUCUCCAAAGAAAUCUCAAAACCCUCUUCUCAAAAUGUGAUUGUCUCUAGUGAAAGCUCUUCUUCCCAAAUUGUGCUUUCCCAACCAUCACCUUAAAAGAAAAUCUCCGAUUGGUUUGAUAAAACCCAUUUUCAAAAUAUUCUUUCUUUAGAAGAUGGAUUUUACCAUGCUGAUCAUUUUCAAGCAAUUUCAAAGUUUUUCCCUAAGGGCUGGUUUUUUAAACCAUGAGAUUUAACAAAACCUCAGUCCUACUUAUGCGGCUAACCGCUUGGUCUCUUAAGCGCAUCCGGCAGGCCGUUGCCCCUGCUCUUCGUCUUCUAAUCAUUUGCUCUCUCUACAACCCAAAACCUGCUCCUCUCUCUCACUACAACCCACCAUUUUCUUAUACUUUUCUUUCCAAUUUCAUGUUUCCAAACCAUUAAUCAUCUCUUCAACAACAAUUUUUCAUCAUCUAAACACCAUUUUUUACUCAAAAUUUAUAGAUCCCUAAUUAUUUCAAAUAGCCCAAACAAUUUAAUCCAAGGCAUAAACCCCUAAUUGUUUCACAUGGCAUUUUCAGUAGUCACCACAACAAGCACAAGAGUGAAGACUGCAUCGUUACCUUGUCUUUAACUCGAAAAUGAAAGACAACGAAUGAAGCUAUGUUCAACUACUCCAGAUGACAGCAACCUUGUGAUGGAUUCGACUGUUAUUUGCUGUGUAGGAGAUGGUAGCUUCGAUUUUAUGUGCUUCGUAUAAAAAUCUUGCAGAGAAAUCAGAAAUUUGAGAAAGAGAUGGUGAGAGAUGUGAGAGAGGGAAAAAAGGGGGCACCAGUUCAACGAGUUGCCCCUUUUUUCUUUUU